UACGGAGGGUGCAAGCGUUAUCCGGAUUUACUGGGUUUAAAGGGUGCGUAGGCGGGCAGGUAAGUCAGUGGUGAAUCUCCGGGCUUAACCCGGAACUGCCGUUGAUACUAUCUGUCUUGAAUAUCGUGGAGGUAAGCGGAAUAUGUCAUGUAGCGGUGAAAUGCUUAGAUAUGACAUAGAACACCGAUUGCGAAAGGCAGCUUACUACACGAUCAUUGACGCUGAGGCACGAAAGCGUGGGGAGCAAACAGG
rnacentral:rRNA from 1 species